GCUUUAUUAAUUAUAAAUUUACAUCUUUAGGAGACGUUAAAUGUAAUUUUUUAAUUAAUUACAUUGGGGUGAUGAGAAAAUAAAAAACUUUUCUAACUUCAGACAAUGAUAUUUGGAUAAAUGAUCCUUUAUUAAAGAUUAUAAGUUUAAGU
rnacentral:rRNA from 1 species